rnacentral:rRNA from 1 species
AACGAACGCUGGCGGCAUGCCUAACACAUGCAAGUCGAACGAGACCUUCGGGUCUAGUGGCGCACGGGUGCGUAACGCGUGGGAACCUGCCCUUAGGUUCGGAAUAACUCCCCGAAAGGGGUGCUAAUACCGGAUAAUGUCUUCGGACCAAAGAUUUAUCGCCUUUGGAUGGUCCCGCGUUGGAUUAGCUAGUUGGUAGGGUAAAAGCCUACCAAGGCGACGAUCCAUAGCUGGUCUGAGAGGAUGAUCAGCCACACUGGGACUGAGACACGGCCCAGACUCCUACGGGAGGUAGCAGUGGGGAAUAUUGGACAAUGGGCGAAAGCCUGAUCCAGCAAUGCCGCGUGAGUGAUGAAGGCCUUAGGGUUGUAAAGCUCUUUUACCCGGGAUGAUAAUGACAGUACCGGGAGAAUAAGCUCCGGCUAACUCCGUG